AGUGGCUCAGCCGGGGAGAAAGCAGCAAGGAAAAGUUUCUGCAGAUUGUAGAGGUCAAAAGAGGAAGUUGGUGCCCAUGGAAUGGAGUUAUGGAUGGAUGUUAGCUGCCAUGUGGGUGCUGGGAACUGAACUUCCUCUGUAAAAACAGGGGUGGAAAGCACUGUGUGGAAGGACAGCACAUGUGACAUGAUAAGGAAUCGAAGGGAGGCACUAACAGGUGGCUGUGUGAACAGAGCUAUUUCAGCUCUUUAGGAGAGAAGGUUUCAAAACCACCUGGAAAUCUAGCAUGUAUCAGAGAAGCAGGAAGGUGAGCGUGGUGUGAAGGGACCAAGCACAUGCUGCAACCCUCCCUCGGAACUGACGCAGUCACGAGACUUAACCCAUAACUUAAGAGAUGAACAUUAAAGGCAAGUGUGGGGGCACACUGCAAAUUUAAGAUGAGGACACCUAUGCUAUAGCGUAAUAUCUUGUCUCAAAAAAGAGGGAGAAUCCAUCCCUUAGGGAAGAGCCCCAUGACAU